rnacentral:rRNA from 1 species
AGAUUGAACGCUGGCGGCAGGCCUAACACAUGCAAGUCGAGCGCGAAAGUUCCUUCGGGAAUGAGUAGAGCGGCGGACGGGUGAGUAACGCGUAGGAAUUUGCCCAGUAGUGGGGGACAACUCGGGGAAACUCGAGCUAAUACCGCAUACGCCCCAAGGGGGAAAGCAGGGGAUCUUCGGACCUUGCGCUAUUGGAUAAGCCUGCGUCGGAUUAGCUAGUUGGUGGGUAAGGGCCUACCAAGGCAACGAUCCGUAGCUGGUCUGAGAGGAUGAUCAGCCACACUGGGACUGAGACACGGCCCAGACUCCUACGGGAGCAGCAGUGGGGAAUAUUGGACAAUGGGGGCAACCCUGAUCCAGCCAU